UUAUUAGGCAGUUUCUAAUAUUUUCCAGGUGGUUGCUAACUGGUUGCUAUGGUAUCUGGGGUGGUUGCUAAGGUGUUGCUAGGUGGUUGCUAAGGUGUUGCUAUGGUAUCUGGGGUGGUUGCUAAGGUGUUGCUAGGUGGUUGCUAGAGGGUUGCUAGGUGGUUGCUAAGGUGUUGCUAUGGGAUCCGGGGUGGUUGCUAAGGUGUUGCUAUGGUAUCCGGGUUAGUUGCUAAGGUGUUGCUAGGUGGUUGCUAAGGUGUUGCUAUGGUAUCCAGGGUGGUUGCUAAGGUGUUGCUAGGUGGUUGCUAGGGUGUUGCUAGGCGGUUGCUAUGGUAUCCAGGGUGGUUGCUAAGGUGUUGCUAGGUGGUUGCUAAGGUGUUGCUAGGUGGUUGCUAUGGUGUUGCUAUGGUAUCCUGGGUGGUUGCUAAGGUGUUGCUAGGUGGUUGCUAGGCAGUUGCUAAGGUGUUGCUAUGGUGUCCUGGGUGGUUGCUAAGGUGUUUCUAGGUGGUUGCUAAGGUGUUGCUAGGUGGUUGCUAAGGUGUUGCUAGGUGGUUGCUAAGGUGUUGCUAUGGUAUCCGGGGUGGUUGCUAAGGUGUUGCUAGGUGGUUGCUAGGCGGUUGCUUAAGUGUUGCUAUGGUAUCCGGGGUGGAUGCUAUGGUGUGGUUGCUAAGGUGUUGCUAGGUGGUUGCUAGGCAGUUGCUAAGGUGUUGCUAUGGUGUCCUGGGUGGUUGCUAAGGUGUUUCUAGGUGGUUGCUAAGGUGUUGCUAGGUGGUUGCUAAGGUGUUGCUAGGUGGUUGCUAAGGUGUUGCUAUGGUAUCCGGGGUGGUUGCUAAGGUGUUGCUAGGUGGUUGCUAGGGUGUUGCUAGGCGGUUGCUAUGGUAUCCAGGGUGGUUGCUAAGGUGUUGCUAGGUGGUUGCUAAGGUGUUGCUAGGUGGUUGCUAUGGUGUUGCUAUGGUAUCCUGGGUGGUUGCUAAGGUGUUGCUAGGUGGUUGCUAGGCAGUUGCUAAGGUGUUGCUAUGGUGUCCUGGGUGGUUGCUAAGGUGUUUCUAGGUGGUUGCUAAGGUGUUGCUAGGUGGUUGCUAAGGUGUUGCUAGGUGGUUGCUAAGGUGUUGCUAUGGUAUCCGGGGUGGUUGCUAAGGUGUUGCUAGGUGGUUGCUAGGCGGUUGCUUAAGUGUUGCUAUGGUAUCCGGGGUGGAUGCUAUGGUGUGGUUGCUAAGGUGUUGCUAGGUGGUUGCUAAGGUGUUGCUAUGGUGUCCAGGGUGGUUGCUAAGGUGUUGCUAGGUGGUUGCUAAGGUGUUGCUAUGGUAUCCUGGGUGGUUGCUAAGGUGUUUCUAGGUGGUUGCUAAGGUGUUGAUAGGUGGUUGCUAAGGUGUUGCUAGGUGGUUGCUAAGGUGUUGCUAUGGUAUCCGGGGUGGUUGCUAAGGUGUUGCUAGGUGGUUGCUAGGCGGUUGCUUAAGUGUUGCUAUGGUAUCCGGGGUGGAUGCUAUGGUGUGGUUGCUAAGGUGUUGCUAGGUGGUUGCUAAGGUGUUGCUAGGUGGUUGCAAGGUGGUUGCUAAGGUGUUGCUAGGCGGUUGCUAAGGUGUUGCUAUGGUGUCUAGGGUGGUUGCUAAGGUGUUGCUAGGUGGUUGCUAAGAUGUUGCUAUGGUAUCUGGGGUGGUUGCUAAAGUGUUGCUAGGUGUAUCUAACUGGUCGCUAGGCAGUUGCUACCAUUUCUAAAGUGGUUGCUAAGCAGUUGCUAACGUUUUCCAGGUGGUUGCUAAGGUGUUGCUAUCUGGUUGCUAGGCAGUUGCUAACGUAUUAUACAUGGUUGCUAAGUGGUUGCUAGGCAGUUGCUAAUGUUUUCCAGGUGGUUGCUAAGGUGUAUCUAACUGGUUCCUAGGCAGUAGUAGAUAAAAAGAAAGAGUGUUAAAUGUAGAAGUACAGAAAAAGGGAGAGCCUGAAAUAGAGAAGUAGAGAGAAAAUCAGCGUGAGAAGUAGAGAAAGAACACCCGAGAAUGUGAGAAAAAGAGUGACAAGUAGAGAGAAAUAUUGAGCGAGAGAAAGAGAAUUAGGGAAAAAGAGAGAUCGAGAAAUAAAGAAGUAGAGAAAGAAAAAGGAUGUAGUAGAGAGAUAGAUAGAAAGAGAAAGCAAGACAGAAAAGUAGAGUGAAAGAGAAGUAGAGAGAAGAGCGAGAAAUAAAGAGAGAGUAAGAGAGAAAUAGAGAAAUAGAAAAGUAGAAAGAAAGAGACAUAGAAAAGUAGAGAGAGUGAGAAAGAGAGAGUGAGAAAUAGAGAAGUAGAGAGAGAGUGAGAAAGAGAGAGUGAGAAAUAGAGAAGUAGAGAGAGUGAGAAAUAGAGACGUAGAGAGAGAGUGAGAAAGAGAGUGAGAAAUAGAGAAGUAGAGAGAGAGUGAGAAAUAGAGACGUAGAGAGAGAGUGAAAAAGAGAGUGAGAAAUAUAGAAGUAGAGAGAGUGAGAAAUAAAGAGAAAUAGAGACGUAGAGAGAGAGUGAAAAAGAGAGUGAGAAAUAUAAAAGUAGAGAGAGUGAGAAAUAUAGAAGUAGAGAGAGAGAGUGAGAAAUAGAGACGUAGAGAGAGAGUGAGAAAGAGUGAGAAAUAGAGAAGUAGAGAGAGUGAGAAAUAGAGACGUAGAAAAGAGUGAGAAAGAGAGAGUGAGAAAUAGAGAAGUAGAGAGAGAGUGAGAAAUAGAGACGUAGAGAGAGAGUGAGAAAUAGAGAAGUAGAGAGCAAAAGAGAGAGUGAGAAGUAGAGAGCAAAAGAGAGAGUGAGACAGAGAAGUAGAGAGCAAACGAGAGAGUGAGAAGUAGAGAAGUAGAGAGCAAAAGAAAGAGUGAGAAAUAGAGAAGUAGAGAGAGUGGGAAAGAUAGAGUGAGAAUUAGAGAAGUAGAGAGAGAGUGAGAAAGAGAGAGUGAGAUAGAGAAGUAGAGAGAGAGUGAGAAAGAGACGUAGAGAGAGUGAGAAAGAGAGAGUGAGAUAGAGAAGUAGAGAGAGAGUGAGAAAUAGAGUGAGAAAUAGAGACGUAGAGAGAGAGUGAGAAAUAGAGUGAGAAAUAGAGACGUAGAGAGAGAGUGAGAAAGAGAGUGAGAAAUAGAGGAGUAGAGAGCAAAAGAGAGUGAGAAAUAGAGAAGUAGAGAGCAAAAGAGAGAGUGAGAAGUAGAGAAGUAGAGAGCAAAAGAAAGAGUGAGAAAUAUAGAAAUAGAGAGAGAGUGGGAAAGAGAGUGAGAAUUAGAGAAGUAGAGAGCGAAAGAGAGAGUGAGAAAGAGAGAGUGGUUGCUAAGCAGUUAAUAGGUGGUUGCUAAACCCUGGCUGGGGUGCCGGGGUGUCCAAACUUUUGACUGAUAGCUGCUCCAUACAGCAGCUCCUCCAUACACUCACAGUACUGGAGGAGCAGGGGAGAGAAGGGGUUCCGUGCGCAGAGCUGCUCGUGUGCGAGAUGGAACUCUGGGCCCCCCAUUCAUUUCUAUGGGAAAACUUCGUACGAAAAUUGUACGAAAACCGUACGUCGUAUCGCUUCGCAACCUGCUAUUAAUUUAAAGAUCUCGGUAAGAUCUAUAAGCUCGCCAAAUUUGGUCUUCGUAUCUCAAAAAUUGUGGCGGUUACGGACGUUUAAAAUUUCGCCCCAUUCAUUCCUAUGGGGAAAAAAUGCGUACGUUUACGAAGUUUUUACGAAAACCGUACGAUAAAUCGCUCCAAAAAGCACAAGCACGCUAAGUUGGCAUAGGUCCUACGAUCCGUGAAAGUUUCGUGAUUCUACGUUGAAAGCUCUAGGAGGAGUAGCGUACAGAAAAAAAGGCGUAAGAAUAAUAAUAAUAAUAAUAAUAAUAAUAAUAAUAAGAAGAUUACGAAGAACAAGAAGUUGGCUUUUCCAAGCCAACUUAAUAAGAAGAUUACGAAGAACAAGAAGUUGGCUUUUCCAAGCCAACUUAAUAAGAAGAUUACGAAGAACAAUAAGUUGGCUUUUCCAAGCCAACUUAAUAAGAAGAUUACGAAGAACAGUAAGUUGGCUUUUCCAAGCCAACUUAAU